rnacentral:rRNA from 1 species
UGUUGCUUGCAAGGGCGUAUGGUGGAUGCCUUGGCAGACAGGACCGAUGAAGGACGUUUGAGGCUGCGAUAUGCCUCGGGGAGCCGCCAACAGGGCUUUGAUCCGAGGAUUUCCGAAUGGGGGAACCCACCGACCGUCAUGGGUCGGUACCGGCUUCGGCCGGGGGGUACGCAGGGAAGUGAAACAUCUCAGUACCUGCAGGAAAGGAUAUUCCGUGAGUAGUGGCGAGCGAAAGCGGAUGAUGGCCAAACCUUGCGCGUGUGAUACCCGUCGGGGGUUGCGCGCGGGGUGUUGCGGGAUCGCGUGCGCCGGCUCCGACGGGCCGGCCGGCAGUUGCAGAAAACCAUGUGUCAGGGGAACCGGGUUGAAUACCGGGCCGCAGAGGGUGAGGGCCCCGUACCUGAACGCGCAUGGUCUGCCGAUCGCGUCUCCCAAGUAGCACGGGUCCCGUGGAACCCCGUGCGAAUCCGCCCAGACCGUUGGGUAAGCCUGAAUAUUCCUGUCUGACCGAUAGCGAACGAGUACCGUGAGGGAAAGGUGAAAAGUACCCCGGGAGGGGAGUGAAACAGUCUCUGAAACCGUGCGCCUACAAUCCGUCGGAGCCCUUUUGUGGGGUGACGGCGUGCCUAUCGAAAAAUGAGUCUGCGAGUCAGUGGCAUGUGGCGAGCAUAACCCGUGUGGGGUAUGCGUAGCGAAGGCGAGUCUUAAAAGGCGUUUGAGUCGCGUGUCCUGGACCCGAAGCGGGAUGAUCUAGCCCUGAGCAGGUUGAAGCGCGGGUAAGACCGCGUGGAGGACCGAACCCACCUGGGUUGAAAACCGGGGGGAUGACUUGGGGCUAGGGGUGAAAGGCCAAUCAAAUUCCGUGAUAGCUGGUUCUCUCCGAAAUGCAUUUGGGUGCAGCGUCGGGUCAUUACGUCCCGGGGGUAGAGCUACUGGAUGCUUGCGGGCCCGUAUCGGGUACCAACAGCAACCAAACUCCGAAUACCGGUGACGCGUAUCCCGGCAGUGAGUCGGCGGGGGAUAAGCUUCGUCGUCGAAAGGGAAACAGCCCAGACCGUCGUCUAAGGUCCCGAAGCGUGUGCUAAGUGGGAAAGGAUGUGGAGUCGCAUAGACAGCCAGGAGGUUGGCUCAGAAGCAGCCACCCUUGAAAGAGUGCGUAACAGCUCACUGGUCUAGUGGUUCCGCGCCGACAAUGUAGCGGGGCUCAAGCACACCACCGAAGACGCGGCAGUAUUUUGUACUGGGUAGGAGAGCGUCCCAUGAGGGGCGAAGCGGCCGUGUGAACGCGCCGUGGACUUCAUGGGAGUGAGAAUGCAGACAUGAGUAGCGAGAGACGGGUGAAGAUCCCGUCCGCUGGAUGACCAAGGGUUCCAGGGCCACGUUCAUCGUCCCUGGGUGAGUCGGGUCCUAAGGCGAGGCCGACAGGCGUAGUCGAAUGGAUGAACGGGUCGAUAUUCCCGUACCGGCUUUCAGCCGCCAAAACCGAGGCUUGGAGUACUAACCUCCGGGUCCGGGCUUACUGCUCCUUCGGGGGCGGGAUGCCCUGGCCUGUUGGGACCGAUCCUUGUAGUAGGUCAGCGCAGGAGUGACGCAGAAGGGUAGCCGGCCGCGGAGGUGGUCUUCCGUGGUCAAGCACGCAGGGCGUGGGACAGGCAAAUCCGUCCCGCAUGGGUCCGAGGUGCGAUGAUGGGGGCCUUAUGGCCCGAUAUCCGGUGAUCCCGGCUGCCGAGAAAAGCUUCGGCGUCAGGCUCGAAGCCGCCCGUACCCCAAACCGACACUGGUGGUCAGGUAGAGAAUACCAAAGCGAUCGAGCGAAUCCUGGUCAAGGAACUCGGCAAAUCACUCCCGUUCCUUCGGUUUAAGGGAGACCCCCGAUGGUGAACACACUUGCUGUGGGAGCUUUUGGGGGUGGCACAGACCAGGGGGUAGCGACUGUUUACCAAAAACACAGGUGCAUGCGAAGGCGCAAGCCGCUGUAUAUGCACUGACGCCUGCCCGGUGCCGGAAGGUUAAGAGGAUCCGUCAGCCUUCGGGUGAAGCGGUGAAUUCAAGCCCCGGUAAACGGCGGUGGUAACUAUAACCAUCCUAAGGUAGCGAAAUUCCUUGUCGGGUAAGUUCCGACCUGCACGAAUGGCGUAACGA